CCUCCGGGUGGCAGCAGUGAGGAAUAUUGGUCAAUGGACGAGAGUCUGAACCAGCCAAGUAGCGUGAAGGAUGACUGCCCUAUGGGUUGUAAACUUCUUUUAUAAAGGAAUAAAACGAGGCACGUGUGCCUUUUUGCAUGUACUUUAUGAAUAAGGAUCGGCUAACUCCGUGCCAGCAGCCGCGGUAAUACGGAGGAUCCGAGCGUUAUCCGGAUUUAUUGGGUUUAAAGGGAGCGUAGAUGGGUUGUUAAGUCAGUUGUGAAAGUUUGCGGCUCAACCGUAAAAUUGCAAUUGAUACUGGCAGUCUUGAGUACAGUUGAGGUAGGCGGAAUUCGUGGUGUAGCGGUGAAAUGCUUAGAUAUCACGAAGAACCCCGAUUGCGAAGGCAGCAUACCGGCGCUCAACUGACGCUCAUGCACGAAAGUGUGGGUAUCGAACAGGAUUAGAUACCCGGGUAGUC
rnacentral:rRNA from 1 species